GCUGUAUCUGUUAUUGUGAGAGAGAGUGUGUGUGUGUGUGUGUGUGUGUGUGUGUGUGUGUGUGUUUUGGGGGGGCGGGGGGGGGCAGCCGUAUAUUUAAAAAGACCUGGCAACUUUUCAGGAUUAUUUGCGGAGACUGCCAAGGUGAGGAUCAGAAACGAAAAUGCUUUUUUGUGAGUUCAAGUUCUAAAUUUUGUUGACCUAUCACUUACAAAAAAAUAGGUUAA